rnacentral:piRNA from 1 species
UGGGCACAUGGAAGCAUUGGCCUCUUGCCU